rnacentral:rRNA from 1 species
UACAGAGGGUGCGAGCGUUGUCCGGAAUUAUUGGGCGUAAAGAGCUCGUAGGCGGUGUGUCGCGUCGGCCGUGAAAACCUGCAGCUUAACUGUGGGCUUGCGGUCGAUACGGGCAUCACUGGAGUUCGGCAGGGGAGACUGGAAUUCCUGGUGUAGCGGCGAAAUGCGCAGAUAUCAGGAGGAACACCGGUGGCGAAGGCGGGUCUCUGGGCCGAUACUGACGCUGAGGAGCGAAAGCGUGGGGAGCGAACAGG